GAUAAACGCUGGCGGCGCACAUAAGACAUGCAAGUCGAACGGACUUAAUUCGAAUGUUUACAUUUGAAAGCGGUUAGUGGCGGACUGGUGAGUAACACGUAAGCAACCUGCCUGUUAGAGGGGAAUAACAGUGAGAAAUCAUUGCUAAUACCGCAUAUGCCAUAGUCAUCACAUGAUGAUAGUGGGAAAGGAGCAAUCCGCUAACAGAUGGGCUUGCGUCUGAUUAGAUAGUUGGUGGGGUAAUGGCCUACCAAGUCGACGAUCAGUAGCCGGACUGAGAGGUUGAACGGCCACAUUGGGACUGAGAUACGGCCCAG
rnacentral:rRNA from 1 species